rnacentral:rRNA from 1 species
GACGAACGCUGGCGGCGUGCUUAACACAUGCAAGUCGAACGGAAAGGCCCUGCUUUUGUGGGGUGCUCGAGUGGCGAACGGGUGAGUAACGCGUGUGUAACCUGCCCUUGACUUUGGGAUAACUUCAGGAAACUGGGGCUAAUACCGGAUAGGAGCUCCUGCUGCAUGGUGGGGGUUGGAAAGUUUCGGCGGUUGGGGAUGGACUCGCGGCUUAUCAGCUUGUUGGUGGGGUAGUGGCUUACCAAGGCUUUGACGGGUAGCCGGCCUGAGAGGGUGACCGGCCACAUUGGGACUGAGAUACGGCCCAGACUCCUACGGGAGGCAGCAGUGGGGAAUAUUGCACAAUGGGCGGAAGCCUGAUGCAGCAACGCCGCGUGCGGGAUGACGGCCUUCGGGUUGUAAACCGCUUUCGCCUGUGACGAAGCGUGAGUGACGGUAAUGGGUAAAGAAGCACCGGCUAACUACGUG